rnacentral:sRNA from 1 species
UACCUCCACAACCCUAAACAGGUGCACUGGAACUGGUGCAUUUAUAUCCACAAGCUUGUCCUAUGCUAAACUUCGGAUUUAAGGUAUUACAGAGGCUCCAGGAACCAAACCUACAGACUCCAGCUUUUGUCUGGGCUGGGCCAACGUGGUUGUGGGUCACAUUUAUCCUGUUUGUGGGUUUUCCCUCCUGCAAGACCCUGUGCACACACAAGCGCUCAUCUCCUUCAGGGCGUUCAUAUUUCAGCACCGUGGACAGUAGCACGAAGCCAGCACCAGGGACAGCUUUCUCGACCGGGAACGUGGUAAAAACACAAGCCGUGAACAGAGACAAUACAAGCAAUAGACUCAUUGAGAUGGCUACGCUGACCAACAGAAAGAAAGACACAGACAACAAUAAUACAAGCGAAGGUGCAGGAGUGAGGCUCAAUCAAGAACACGCUGACCCAGACCUCGUUGUCGUCUCCGUUGUCCGGCAGAGGUCGCUCUAGUUCUGAGACCCUGCCCUCCAAGACCUUGGGUCAGUUAUACAGUUACCCAGGGAAAGAAAGGCCUUCUCGUUCUGUCUAGGGUUCAGAUGAUGUUCUUUCCAACUCUGAGAGGCAUGGUCUGGGUUGGGCUCAGCUGAGUGAUUAUUGGGGGGUGGAGUAAGAAUCGUUUCAUCUGCCCCCUCCCCAGCUACCAGCUAAUCGCUCUUAUAAAUAUACCUUGACCCGG